UACGUAGGGGGCGAGCGUUGUCCGGAGUUACUGGGCGUAAAGCGCACGCAGGCAGUCUGCUAAGUUUGGAGUGACAGUUGGUGGCUUAACUGCCAAAGUGCUUCGAAAACUGACAGACUUGAGGGCUUCAGAGGGACACGGAAUUCCGGGUGGAGUGGUGAAAUGCGUAGAGAUCCGGAGGAACACCAAAGGUGAAGGCAGUGUCCUGGGGAGUACCUGACGCUCAGGUGCGAAAGCCAGGGGAGCGAACGGG
rnacentral:rRNA from 1 species